GAGAUGCUGUAGGCGCUAACCCAUUCAUCGGCUUCCUCCCGUCCCUGCGUCAUCAGCCCCGUGACCUGCCAUUCAAAAUUGCAUGUUUUGCGAUUGAUUUCCAAGAAAUGCGAGAUCGAAACUUGAUAAUAACUGAUAUCGCUAAUAGACCUAAGAUCGGGACGGGAAGAAACAAAAAAGAUAUGGGGCAGCUGAAACUAACGGCCAACCUGAGAGAUGACGCCCAAGUCCACCAGAAUCCACUCGCCGACGGAGCGAUGUUUAGCGCACCAGGCUUUGCUGCCGCUCUGAUAGAGCCGCGCGUACUUGGGCUGGCACGAACCACCUUGAUUGUUGUACAUGCCAACUGCGCCGCCUACUGACUGGCUGCCGGUGCUACUUGCAAACUCUGUCAGAUCGCCCACGCCCGUCCAUUGGGAACUGGAUGCAAUUUGCCAAUCUUGGAUCGAUCCGGAGCUCAUUCCCAGCAAACGGGGGCAUUCCGUCGUCGAUGCCGUGUCUGCAGACUUGCCUAUUAAAAUGGCACUCCUUUGCUGCAAGUCGGAGUUCUAUAGAUACGUUCAAUAAUCUAACAAGACAGAAGACAAGAAAGAAAAAAGUGAGCUCACCUGUGGCGAGAUGAACCGAUGAGGUCAGCUGGACGAAGAGGAGGAAGCUGACAACAAGGGAAGACUUUUCGAGAGUGAGAUGAAACGAUCGGCUGCAAUUCUUCGUCAAGCAUUCGCCGGCACGGGACAUUGGACUCCCGCUGCGUCUGGCUGGAUCAACCCAGCCGCUUCUUCUUCUUCUGGGAGUGCUUAGUUUCGUCUACAAAGGCACGGGACGUUUAAAGAAUGAGCUGUGAUCGAAUGUUUGAUUGGAAAGACUUUGGGCGAAGAAGAUGACAGAAAACUCCAUCCAUCCAUUGCAGUCAUUUGAAAUUUUUUCGGAGGGGCAGGUUUUAAACCAUUGGGGCGUAUGACACCGGAAGGGGAACCCCGUGAAGACGUCUUCAGAUGCUGCUGCAUUUUGUCUGCACACUAGAGGGACCGACAGUCAAACAUGACGAAUGUAUCCUUUUGUUUUUUAUUUUUCCCUUGAAUCCCUCAGCUACCACAUCAUCAUCCCUGCAGAGACUGGUGUUGAACCUCUGACUUUCUCUUGCUGUUGAACUUUAUCCAAUAUCAACAACGCACUUCGAAGGAUUGCACACACACACACAAUGGGAGAAGCUUCAAAGCAGGGGCACCAAGCACUCGAUCAAUUACACACUAUACAAGUCCAGUCUUUUCAAGAUGCAUUCCAGUCGGCCGCCGGUCAAACCGACCUUUAUGGCCAUCAAUCAGGCCGGACAUGUAACCCGAGCCUUAUAAAAUUAAAAAAAAAAAAAAAAGGAAAACGCUUUCCAACCGCUGCCACCCUAUUUACGAUUUGAAUUGUAGUAUUAAAGACAAAAAAGAGAAAAAAAAAAAUAAGAAAGAAAUGAAAAUGUCUGAUGUAUUGAUGAAAUAACCCACUGUGAUGAGCAGCGUGAAAUACAGCGGCCUUCCGCGGUAAUCUUCAAGCAGCUGUGCUAACACGAGGGUUCAAACUGAAAUGUGUUUGUUUCAGCAACGUGGGCAUUUAACCAUUUUUGUAAUUUCUUAUUUUUUUUUUUUUAUUCGAUUAUAUUUACUUGGACGAAGCCCUUAUUCGUUUUUCUCAGUUGGAUUCCUGACAAUCAACAAAAACCAGUUCGACAGGUUUCCUAUUCCCGUUUUUUUUUUUUCCUUUUCAUUUCUUGUAGUAUUAUCUGUCCUUUUAUUUUGUUGUGUAAUUCCGUCUUCGUUAACCAUAGCCUCCGUAACUAGAUAAAUCAAAGUGGGAGGAUUCAUAGCGAGCCGGCCGGCUUCGUAUCUCUUCCCCCUUUGUAUACUAUUUAGAUUGUUUUGCGAUUCGACACAGCAAUUCGUAUAAUAAUGUAGAUGAGAGAUAAGCGGAGAUAGGGUUAAAAACGUAUUCUUGUUUCUUAUUACAUGUUCACGCAGAGAUGAUUCGUUUUCUCUGAUUGCGAUGAAUUGAUGGCCUCAAGGGUGCUCUUUUUUUUUUUUUUUUUUUUUGAAUCGCUAUGCUUGUCUCGCGGUGAUGGGUGGUUCACAAAUCAUCAGAACUGAAGUGAUGCUUAGUAUGAAUCUUGUAUAAUUUUUGGAAACAAAAAUUAUUGUUGAGUCUGCGCG